AUUUAGAGUGUAUAUAAAAUAAGAGAUGGAAAACAAGGAAAGGAAGAUAAAAUUGGUAUCUUCAAGAGGGCACGCUUAACUCUGUAAUUCCUGCCAAAUCCUCCACUCAGAGGGGCAGUGGCCACUUUGAGCAACAAGAGAUCAGGUACCGUGCCACUUGCAGCGUUCAGGCUCAGCACUUUAGGAACAGUUAGCAGGAAAACUUUGAUUCUGUAGGACUCGCACACCAAGAACAGAGUCCUAGACCUGCCACGUGGUUAACUGCGUCCUGUCCAGAAGAGGGAUACUGGGUGAAUCAAAGUUACCCUAGGCAAGGUGAGCUGACAGAAAACUUGGUCUCAGCACAGCUUUCUCUUUCACCUUCUUUUGUCGAUCCCAAACAUUUGUUGUGUCUCUUCUCAGUAUAGUGUUAUUGCUUGGCCUUGUUCUGGACAGGGAGGUACAGCUUGAACUCAGCUGGGAGCUCAUCCUCAGAGUACAGCCGGUCAGAGAAGUACACCCGUCGGAUGCGACAGUUGGCGUGGAUCUGAACUCUCAGAGUCUCAAUGUAAUUUGUCCCGUAAGCCCUGCGCGUGAAGUCUGAGAGGUUGAACUGGAUUUGGUUCCAGCCGUCGUCCAGCCGCAUGGGCAUGGUGCAGAUGAAGGGCUUCACUCGUGUUGUGCUCUGGUAGUUACUCGCCCGGAAGCGCCGCCGUACGUUCUUGUCAUCGAGCACCUGCACUUCAAAAGUGAAAUACUUCUUCAGGUUCUUGAUGAUCAUCACUAGGAAAGGCAGCUUAAUGCCCAGGGUCUUCUUUGGGUCAGCAGGGCACGUGAUGUACGUGGUACUGACGUUUGUUCCUUCAAUCUCCAGCACCAGUGACUGGAUGUCAUUAUCGGUGAUCCGCUUGAUGUGGCCAUUGCGCACCUUCUUGUCCCAGAUCUGCAGCGGCUUGCUGCCGAUGCUGUAGAGCACCGAGAGGAACCCGCUCUGGAACGUGUUCUUGAACAUGGCGCCCGCGGGAGCAGCGCGCCGCCACCACGGCCGGUGGCGGAAGGACACAGCGGCGCUCGCGGAUCCCUCCGCGCCGCCCCGCCGCCGCCGCCGCCGCCACUGGGC
rnacentral:lncRNA from 1 species